GGUCGGCCCAGAUAGGUCUCAAAGCUUUCAUUGGAAGCUUUGAGAUCUGCUGCGGCUAGGACC
rnacentral:pre_miRNA from 1 species